ACUGUUACCCUCCUCCUGCUCAUCCCCAGAACCAUUUGAGAAAAUUUUUUUCCUAAUUACAACCCAUGAGAUUUUAAUACCACCCAUCUACUGCAUAACUGUUUAUGUUUGUGCUUUUACACAUAAAAAGAGUAAUCUUUUUUACUCCCCCUUCCCCAAGGAUCCAUUUUUGCCCUCCUAGGGGUACUAUCCCCCUCAUUGGGCAGGCACCUGCCAUUGACGUGGGGUUGAGGAGAAGAGUGGUCCUGUUCUGCAAAUGUGGACAAUAGUGAUAUCGAGGCCAUGGGAUGAUUGUGAGUGAUGAGGGGACACUGAUUGUGAGAGCUCUUUAUGAGCCAUAUACCACUGAGAUGUCCAUAUACCGCUGAGAUGUCCAUAUACCGCUGAGAUGUCCAUAUACCGCUGAGAUGUCCAUAUACCGCUGAGAUGUCCAUAUACCGCUGAGAUGUCCAUAUACCGCUGAGAUGUCCAUAUACCGCUGACAUGUCCAUAUACCGCUGACAUGUUCAUAUAUCACUGAGAUGUCCAUAUACCGCUGACAUGCCCAUAUACCGCUGACAUGUUCAUAUACCACUGACAUGUCCAUAUACCACUGAAAUGUUAGCUGUCAUUGCUUCCCUGAAAAGUCGGUGUGAACCCAGGAGGGCUGGCUGCACACUGCUGGUGUUGGGGGGAUGAGAGAGCCAGGGCUUGCUCUUUGUUGUUGUUGCUUGUGCUUAGUGUUCAGGUCACCUGUAGUAGGCAGAGUGUGGUAUCGGUCCCCGAAUGGAACAGAGUCAGGGCUGGGAUGCCUGGUGCAGAUGGAGGAGGGAGCCCUUAGCUGGGCCGGAAAACCUCGAAGGGUACUUUGUGUGAAAAGAGGAGUGAAAGAGGAAGUGGAAAAGUACUGUUGACCUGUGUCCUUCCCCAGUCACCUUCCUCUGAAAGCUCCUCCCUUAGUAUGAAUGAGGUGGGGAUGCCGGCCAGCAGGCAGGUGUGUUCCCCAGUGAGGUGAGGUCCUCCUGUCACAGCAGAAUGACACCCUGGAGAAUAAAGUUCGGGAAUGAAUCAAGGCUCCUCUAGGCUGAAAUGGGGAAAUAGGGGAGGGGGUAUGGACUAGUCCCAGUGCAGUGAGAUGUCUAAGGGUAGGUGACGAGGGAGGUGCCUGUGCCCUAGAUUGAUGUCACAGCCUGGGCCUCCCAAGAUGCUGGUCCACAGGGAGUGGGUGGGAAAGUGGCAGAAGGGGAGGAAAUGGGAGAGUGAGCGACUGUGAGUGAUGUGACUUCGAAGUAGGAGAAGCAGUAGCAAGGGGGCUUUGUGCUGUGACGGGGGUCUGGGGGAGGGAGAGGGUAAUAGGAGAGAGCGGGGCUUAUCUGUAAUGUCAGGUGUCCUGCAGGUGGGCAGGGAUAUGAUUUCAAAAACGCCCCUUUUUGUUCCAGUGUUGUGGAAGGUGGCAAAGAAGGAAGCUGGGAUCUUCAAGCCCACUUGAGUGGACUUUGGACUCACCUGGAGGGCUUAUACACCACAGAUUGCUGGGUCUCACCCCCAGCCUUUAUGAUUCAGUGGCUCUGGCUUGGGGCCCAAGAAUUUGCAUUUACUAUUUUUUAAGAGACAGAGUCUCGCUCUUUUGCCUAGGCUGGAGUGCAGUGGUGCGAACAGAACUCAUUGCAGCCUCGAACUCCUGGGCUCAAGUGAUCCUCCUGCCUUAGCCUCUUGAGUAGUUAGGACUGUAGGC
rnacentral:lncRNA from 1 species